UACGUAGGGUGCAAGCGUUGUCCGGAAUUAUUGGGCGUAAAGGGCUCGUAGGCGGUCCAUCACGUCGGGAGUGAAAAGCUGGGGCUUAACCCCAGUCCUGCUUCCGAUACGGGUGGACUAGAGGUAGGCAGGGGGAGAACGGAAUUCCUGGUGUAGCGGUGAAAUGCGCAGAUAUCAGGAGGAACACCAGAGGCGAAGGCGGCGACCUGGACAGGUACUGACACUAAACUACGAAAGCGUGGGGAGCAAACAGG
rnacentral:rRNA from 1 species